rnacentral:rRNA from 1 species
AUGAACGCUGGCGGCGUGCUUAACACAUGCCAGUCGAACGAUGAAGCCCAGCUUGUUGGGUGGAUUAGUGGCGAACGGGUGAGUAACACGUGAGUAACCUGCCCUUAACUCUGGGAUAAGCCUGGGAAACUGGGUCUAAUACCGGAUAGGAGCGUCCACCGCAUGGUGGGUGUUGGAAAGAUUUAUCGGUUUUGGAUGGACUCGCGGCCUAUCAGCUUGUUGGUGAGGUAAUGGCUCACCAAGGCGACGACGGGUAGCCGGCCUGAGAGGGUGACCGGCCACACUGGGACUGAGACACGGCCCAGACUCCUACGGGAGGCAGCAGUGGGGAAUAUUGCACAAUGGGCGAAAGCCUGAUGCAGCGACGCCGCGUGAGGGAUGACGGCCUUCGGGUUGUAAACCUCUUUCAGUAGGGAAGAAGCGAAAGUGACGGUACCUGCAGAAGAAGCACCGGCUAACUACGUG